UGCUAUUAGGAAUAAACCUACCAUAGAAAAUUCCCUGGAAAGUUGGAAAAGGUUUACUUUUGUCGACAAGAAUUAAAAGGACUUUGUUCAUUCUAACUUUGCAUUCAAAGGCUCACUUUUUUAUACCUGACAACUAGCUGAUCAGUAUCAAGAAAUAUAUAGCUCAGAUAAAAGAUUAUGGGAGGUAUAAUUGAAAAAAUUAGAUGUUUUUUUUAAUCAAUAAAGCUACAACUUCAGAGAUUCUUUAUUGAUUUUGCGAUUACUUAUUGACUAUAAUUUUACUAUGUAAUUUUAAUUUAUUACUUAUUUCAUUAAUAAGAAUAACUUUUUUACAAGUUUUAAAUGCGAUUUAAUUGUUAAUAUAAAGACUUAAAUAGAAAUCGAGUUAAAUUGAUAGCUACUUAUUAAAUUCUAGUUCAGUCAUUUUAAUUCUUGAAUUCAGUUUGUACUAAAA